GACAGAGGUGCCGAGCGUUAGGCGGAAUCACUGGGCUUAAAGCGUGUGUAGGCGGACUUCUAAGUGCCUUGUGAAAUCCCACGGCUCACCCGUGGAACUGCUGGGCAUACUGGGAGUCUUGAGCCACUUAGGGGCAACUGGAACAAACGGUGGAGCGGUGAAAUGCGUAGAUAUCGAGAGGAACACCUGCGGCGAAGGCGGGUUGCUGGGCUGACACGUGACGCUGAUGCGCGAAAGCCAGGGGAGCGAACGGG
rnacentral:rRNA from 1 species